GAUGAACGCUAGCGGGAGGCCUAACACAUGCAAGCCGAGCGGUAGAGAUCUUUCGGGAUCUUGAGAGCGGCGUACGGGUGCGGAACACGUGUGCAACCUGCCUUUAUCAGGGGGAUAGCCUUUCGAAAGGAAGAUUAAUACCCCAUAAUAUAAGAGACGGCAUCGUUUUUUAUUGAAAACUCCGGUGGAUAGAGAUGGGCACGCGCAAGAUUAGAUAGUUGGUGAGGUAACGGCUCACCAAGUCAACGAUCUUUAGGGGGCCUGAGAGGGUGAUCCCCCACACUGGUACUGAGACACGGACCAGACUCCUACGGGAGGCAGCAGUGAGGAAUAUUGGACAAUGGGUGCGAGCCUGAUCCAGCCAUCCCGCGUGAAGGACGACGGCCCUAUGGGUUGUAAACUUCUUUUGUAUAGGGAUAAACCUACCCUCGUGAGGGUAGCUGAAGGUACUAUACGAA
rnacentral:rRNA from 1 species